rnacentral:misc_RNA from 1 species
GUUGUAGAGUAUGGUGGAAUGCUACGAUCCCAUUGCAAGGUAGCUGGUAUAUGAACUUGGGCUUUCUAACCUCAACAGCUAACCUUUAGGGUGUGGUUCUCCUAAGUUCAUACCAGGAGGCCAUACUCUUCUAUUUAUUGUUUGUGAUAACUGUUCACAAUGGACAAUUUGCACUGCAAGCAGUUUCAGAGUUCUCUUUCUGAUCUGAUUUGGCAUUUCAAUCCUACCUCUUAACAGAUAUUAUUUCCCGCCUAAGUUUCUUUGCAUUUUAGUUUUAAAAUAAAUCCCAAACCUAACCUGAACAAUCAGGUCCUGCACAGGUGUCUUCCAUCAAUUCUUUGUGGAGAAUUUACCAUUCUCUCUCAUACUGUGAAAUUUUAUGGUUAGGGAUUCUUUUUAGAGCUGAUUCAUGUUGUAUCAAAAUCCAUUUAUUAGUGCAUCCUCCAGUAUUUGGCAUGUCUUCCCAUGUUAUUUAUAGCCAAAUGGGUGAUCCAUUGCUCUACACAGGUGGGUAACGUG